rnacentral:rRNA from 1 species
CAGUAGCCGCGGGAAUACGUAGGUGGCAAGCGUUGUCCGGAAUUAUUGGGCGUAAAGGACUCGCAGGCGAUUUCUUAAGUCUGAUGUGAAAGCCCCCGGCUCAACCGGGGAGGGUCAUUGGAAACUGGGAAACUUGAGUGCAGAAGAGGAGAGUGGAAUUCCACGUGUAGCGGUGAAAUGCGUAGAGAUGUGGAGGAACACCAGUGGCGUAGGCGACUCUCUGGUCUGUAACUGACGCUGAGGAGCGAAAGCGUGGGGAGCGAACAGGAUUAGAGACCCCCGUAGUCCCUGUCUCUUAUAC